rnacentral:rRNA from 1 species
AGUGAACGCUGGCGGUAGGCCUAACACAUGCAAGUCGAACGGCAGCACAGUAAGAGCUUGCUCUUACGGGUGGCGAGUGGCGGACGGGUGAGGAAUACAUCGGAAUCUACUUUUUCGUGGGGGAUAACGUAGGGAAACUUAUGCUAAUACCGCAUACGACCUACGGGUGAAAGCAGGGGAUCUUCGGACCUUGCGCGAUUGAAUGAGCCGAUGUCGGAUUAGCUAGUUGGCGGGGUAAAGGCCCACCAAGGCGACGAUCCGUAGCUGGUCUGAGAGGAUGAUCAGCCACACUGGAACUGAGACACGGUCCAGACUCCUACGGGAGGCAGCAGUGGGGAAUAUUGGACAAUGGGCGCAAGCCUGAUCCAGCCAUACCGCGUGGGUGAAGAAGGCCUUCGGGUUGUAAAGCCCUUUUGUUGGGAAAGAAAAGCAGCAGGUGAAUACCCCGCUGUUCUGACGGUACCCAAAGAAUAAGCACCGGCUAACUUCGUG